ACGGCGCUACGGAGCGAUGCCGCGUGAACGAAGAAGGCCCUGCAGGUUGUAAAGUUCUUUUCGGGAGGGGGAACAACCGUGGCAGGGAAUGGCCGCGGGAUGACGUGAAUCCCGGAAUAAGCCCCGGCUAACUACGUGCCAGCAGCCGCGGUAACACGUAGGGGGCGAGCGUUGUUCGGAAUCAUUGGGCGUAAAGGGCGUGCAGGCGGUCCUGCAAGUCCGGCGUGAAAUACCCCGGCCCAACCGGGGGGACGCGCUGGAAACUGCAGGGCUUGAGUACAGGAGGGGAUGCCGGAAUUCCAGGUGUAGGGGUGAAAUCUGUAGAUAUCUGGAAGAACACCAAUGGCGAAGGCAGGCAUCUGGCCAUGUACUGACGCUGAUACGCGAAGGUGCGGGGAGCAAACAGGUUUAGAUACCCUGGUAGUCCGCACAGUAAACGAUGUGCACCAGGUGGCGGGGGGUCGACCCUCGGUACCGUAACUAACGCAUUAAGUGCACCGCCUGGGGAGUAUGCUCGCAAGGGUGAAACUCAAAGGAAUUGACG
rnacentral:rRNA from 1 species